rnacentral:rRNA from 1 species
UUAAGCGACUAAGCGUACACGGUGGAUGCCCGGCAGUCAGAGGCGAUGAAGGACGUGCUAAUCUGCGAAAAGCGUCGGUAAGGUGAUAUGAACCGUUAUAACCGGCGAUGUCCGAAUGGGAAACCCAGUGUGAUUCGUCACACUAUCGUUAACUGAAUACAUAGGUUAACGAGGCGAACCGGGGAACUGAAACAUCUAAGUACCCCGAGGAAAAGAAAUCAACCGAGAUUCCCCAGUAGCGGCGAGCGAACGGGAGCAGCCCAGAGUCUGAAUCAGCUUGUGUUAGUGGAACGGUCUGGAAAGUCCGACGGUACAGGGUGAUAGUCCCGUACACCAAAAUGCACAGGCUGUGAACUCGAAGAGUAGGGCGGGACACGUGGUAUCCUGUCUGAAUAUGGGGACCAUCCUCAAGGCUAAAUACUCCUGACUGACCGAUAGUGAACCAGUACCGUGAGGAAAGGCGAAAAGAACCCCGGCGAGGGAGUGAAAAGAACCUGAAACCGUGUACGUACAAGCAGUGGGAGCACCUUCGGGUGUGACUGCGUACCUUUGUAUAAUGGGUCAGCGACUUAUAUUCUGUAGCAAGGUUAACCGUAUAGGGAGCCGCAGGAAACCGAGUCUUAACUGGGCGUUAAGUUGCAGGGUAUAGACCCGAAACCCGGUGAUCAGCCAUGGGCAGGUUGAAGGUUGGGUAACACUAACUGGAGGACCGAACCGACUAAUGUUGAAAAUUAGCGGAUGACUUGUGGCUGGGGUGAAAGGCCAAUCAAACCGGGAGAUAGCUGGUUCUCCCGAAAGCUAUUUAGGUAGCGCCUCGUGAAUUCAUCUUCGGGGUAGAGCACUGUUUCGGCUAGGGGUCAUCCCGACUUACCAACCCGAUGCAAACUACGAAUACCGAAGAAUGUUAUCACGGGAGACACACGGCGGGUGCUAACGUCCGUCGUGAAGAGGAAACAACCCAGACCGCCAGCUAAGGUCCCAAAGUCAUGGUUAAGUGGGAAACGAUGUGGAAGGCACAGACAGCCGGAUGUUGGCUUAGAAGCAGCCAUCAUUUAAAGAGCGUAAUAGCUCACUGGUCGAGUCGGCCUGCGCGGAAGAUGUAACGGGCUAAACCAUGCACCGAAGCUGCGGCAGCGACACUAUGUGUUGUUGGGUAGGGAGCGUUCUGUAAGCCUGCGAAGGUGACCUGUGAGGGUUGCUGGAGGUAUCAGAAGUGCGAAUGCUGACAUAAGUAACGAUAAAGCGGGUGAAAAGCCCGCUCGCCGGAAGACCAAGGGUUCCUGUCCAACGUUAAUCGGGGCAGGGUGAGUCGACCCUAAGGCGAGGCCGAAAGGCGUAGUCGAUGGAAACAGGUUAAUAUUCCUGUACUUGGUGUUACUGCGAAGGGGACGGAGAAGGCUAUGUUAGCCGGGCGACGGUUGUCCCGGUUUAAGCAUGUAGGCUGGUUAUCCGAGCAAAUCCGGAUAAUCAAGGCUGAGGUGUGAUGACGAGGCACUACGGUGCUGAAGUAACAAAUGCCCUGCUUCCGAGAAAAGCCUCUAAGCAUCAGGUAACAUCAAAUCGUACCCCAAACCGACACAGGUGGUCAGGUAGAGAAUACCAAGGCGCUUGAGAGAACUCGGGUGAAGGAACUAGGCAAAAUGGUGCCGUAACUUCGGGAGAAGGCACGCUGGUGUGUAGGUGAAGUCCCUGCGGAUGGAGCUGAGACCAGUCGAAGAUACCAGCUGGCUGCAACUGUUUAUUAAAACACAGCACUGUGCAAACACGAAAGUGGACGUAUACGGUGUGACGCCUGCCCGGUGCCGGAAGGUUAAUUGAUGGGGUUAUCCGUAAGGAGAAGCUCUUGAUCGAAGCCCCGGUAAACGGCGGCCGUAACUAUAACGGUCCUAAGGUAGCGAAAUUCCUUGUCGGGUAAGUUCCGACCUGCACGAAUGGCGUAAUGAUGGCCGGCUGUCUCCACCCGAGACUCAGUGAAAUUGAACUCGCUGUGAAGAUGCAGUGUACCCGCGGCAAGACGGAAAGACCCGUGAACCUUUACUAUAGCUUGACACUGAACAUUGAGCCUUGAUGUGUAGGAUAGGUGGGAGGCUUUGAAGCGUGGACGCCAGUCUGCGUGGAGCCAACCUUGAAAUACCACCCUUUAAUGUUUGAUGUUCUAACGUUGGCCCCUGACCGGGGUUGCGGACAGUGUCUGGUGGGUAGUUUGACUGGGGCGGUCUCCUCCCAAAGCGUAACGGAGGAGCACGAAGGUUAGCUAAUCGGUCGGACAUCAGGAGGUUAGUGCAAUGGCAUAAGCUAGCUUGACUGCGAGCGUGACGGCGCGAGCAGGUGCGAAAGCAGGUCAUAGUGAUCCGGUGGUUCUGAAUGGAAGGGCCAUCGCUCAACGGAUAAAAGGUACUCCGGGAUAACAGGCUGAUACCGCCCAAGAGUUCAUAUCGACGGCGGUGUUUGGCACCUCGAUGUCGGCUCAUCACAUCCUGGGGCUGAAGUAGGUCCCAAGGGUAUGGCUGUUCGCCAUUUAAAGUGGUACGCGAGCUGGGUUUAGAACGUCGUGAGACAGUUCGGUCCCUAUCUGCCGUGGGCGCUGGAGAAUUGAGGGGCUGCUCCUAGUACGAGAGGACCGGAGUGGACGCAUCACUGGUGUUCGGGUUGUCAUGCCAAUGGCACUGCCCGGUAGCUAAAUGCGGAAGAGAUAAGUGCUGAAAGCAUCUAAGCACGAAACUUGCCCCGAGAUGAGUUCUCCUGAGACUUUAAGUCUCCUGAAGGAACGUUGAAGACGACGACGUUGAUAGGCCGGUGUGUAAGCGCAGCGAUGCGUUGAGCUAACCGGUACUAAUGAACCGUGAGGCUUAACACA